UAUUUUAGAUCGACCCAUCCCAUUUUUUUUAAUUCGAUUCAAUUCAGAAAAACCAUUGCCCGACCCAAAGUCCAUCCCGAUUGCUUCUCUCUCUCUCUCCUCUUGUCCUCCUCUCUUCUCCAUCACCUCACUGUUAUGGCCAUGGCCGAAAUUUCCACCAGCGAACUCGCCGAAAAUCAUGGAGAAUCUUCAGAUUUGUCACCUCGCAUCUUCUUUUACCCUUUCUCUAUACCUACACAUGUUUAUACACCGAUCUGGAGAAAUAUAUACAAGAGGUCAAAGAUCUAAAAGUUUUGGGUCUGGAUUUUACUGCAUCUGACCAUGAAUAUAUUUUUCCGCUCCGGCGAACCUCCGACGACUUCUGACCCUACACUGCUGCCUCGUCCUUUGUUUCUUAUGUUUGUCACUAACAAGUGAACUUGCACAAUUAGGGAGAAAUUUUUUACUUCGUACACUGAUCACCUUCAUUUUUUUUCCACUGAAUGAAAAUGGCUCUUUUAAGAUUGGGAUGUGAUGUUCUUCCUUAUGAAGCUCCUUUUAUUUCUUUGAUUUUUUAUUUAAGGGAUCUUUCUGAUUAUGUUAUUUUUUUGUGUGAAUUCUGAGGUAUCAAUAGGUAAAUGCUUAGCAGAUUCUGAUGCUCUAGGUUAAAGGCAGAAAAGUUGUUAUCUAUACUGCCAUAAAUCCAAGUCCAUAGAUUUUAGAUGGUUGAAUAAGAUAUAUUUAAGGAAGCAAACUAGUAUGAGUUCUACCA